ACUCCUACGGGAGGCAGCAGUAGGGAAUCUUCCACAAUGGGCGCAAGCCUGAUGGAGCAACACCGCGUGAGUGAAGAAGGGUUUCGGCUCGUAAAGCUCUGUUGUUAAAGAAGAACACGUAUGAGAGUAACUGUUCAUACGUUGACGGUAUUUAACCAGAAAGUCACGGCUAACUACGUGCCAGCAGCCGCGGUAAUACGUAGGUGGCAAGCGUUAUCCGGAUUUAUUGGGCGUAAAGAGAGUGCAGGCGGUUUUCUAAGUCUGAUGUGAAAGCCUUCGGCUUAACCGGAGAAGUGCAUCGGAAACUGGAUAACUUGAGUGCAGAAGAGGUAGUGGAACUCCAUGUGUAGCGGUGGAAUGCGUAGAUAUAUGGAAGAACACCAGUGGCGAAGGCGGCUACCUGGUCUGCAACUGACGCUGAGACUCGAAAGCAUGGGUAGCGAACAGGAUUAGAU
rnacentral:rRNA from 1 species